rnacentral:rRNA from 1 species
GCGAAGCACAUGAUGACGGCUUCCAGGAAAAGCUUCUGGCAAUGCAUAUGCGGCCCGUACCAAAACCGACACAGGUGGGCAGGGAGAGAAUCCCGAGGUGAGCGAGAGAACUGUUGCCAAGGAACUCGGCAAAAUGACUCCGUAAGUUAGCGAGAAGGAGUGCUUAAGCAAUUAAGCCGCAGUGAAGAGGCCCAAGCGACUGUUUAACUAAAACACAGCUCUCUGCGAAGUCGCAAGACGAAGUAUAGGGGGUGACACCUGCCCGGUGCUGGAAGGUUAAGAGGAUCUGUUAAGAGCGAUCUGAAGCAGUGAUCCGAAGCCCCAGUGAACGGCGGCCGUAACCAUAACGGUCCUAAGGUAGCGAAAUUCCUUGUCAGGUAAGUUCUGACCCGCACGAAAGGUGUAACGAUUUGGGCGCUGUCUCGGCAGCAGACUCGGUGAAAUCUUAGUACCUGUGAAAAUGCAGGUUACCCGCAACUAGACGGAAAGACCCCAUGGAGCUUUACUGCAGCCUGAUAUUGAAUUCUGGUCAUACAUGUACAGGAUAGGUGGGAGACAAAGAAACGUGCACGCCAGUGUACGAGGAGUCGACGUUGGGAUACCACUCUUGUGUGACCGGGGUUCUAACCUGGUAUCGAGAACAGGUACGGGGAGAGUGUCAGGUGGGCAGUUUGACUGGGGCGGUCGCCUCCCAAAGAGUAACGGAGGCGCCCAAAGGUACGCUCAGAUUGGAUGGAAACCAAUCGACGAGUGCAAUUGCAGAAGCGUGCUUGACUGUGAGACAGACAAGUCGAACAGGGACGAAAGUCGGGAAUAGUGAUCCGGCGGUGCCGAAUGGAAGGGCCGCCGCUCAACGGAUAAAAGCUACCCUGGGGAUAACAGGCUGAUCUCGCCCAAGAGCUCACAUCGACGGCGAGGUUUGGCACCUCGAUGUCGGCUCAUCGCAUCCUGGAGCUGGAUUCGGUUCCAAGGGUUGGGCUGUCCGCCCAUUAAAGCGGUACGCGAGCUGGGUUCAGAACGUCGUGAGACAGUUCGGUCCCUAUCUGUUGUGGGCGAAGGAGAUCUGCGGAGAGCUGUCCUCAGUACGAGAGGACCGGGAUGGACCUACCGCUGGUGCACCGGUUGUUCCGCCAGGGGCAUAGCCGGGUAGCUAAGUAGGGAAAGGAUAAGCGCUGAAAGCAUCUAAGCACGAAGCCUACUCCAAGAUGAGAUCUCCCAUUCGCAAGAAGUAAGACCCCUUAAAGACGAUAAGGUAGAUAGGUCAGGGAUGGAAGUGCAGUGAUGUACGGAGUUGACUGGUACUAAUCGGUCGAGGACUAA